UGGGGAAUAUUGGACAAUGGGCGAAAGCCUGAUCCAGCCAUGCCGCGUGUGUGAAGAAGGUCUUCGGAUUGUAAAGCACUUUAAGUUGGGAGGGAGGGCAGUAAGCUAAUACCUUGCUGUUUUGACGUUACCGACAGAAUAAGCACCGGCUAACUCUGUGCCAG
rnacentral:rRNA from 1 species